CAUACCGCUGCGGGAGAGUCCUUCCGAUCGAUGGUUGGCGCCGUAGGAGCAAACCCUCUCCGGGAAUCUCUCAGGCACCAGUACCGCAGCGGAUAG
rfam:Leifsonia rubra CMS 76R Leifsonia_rubra_contig_18, whole genome shotgun sequence.